CGUAACAAGGUUUCCGUAGGUGAACUGCGGAAGGAUCAU
rnacentral:rRNA from 1 species